GACGAACCGUGCGAACGUUGUUCGGAAUCACUGGGCUUAAAGGGCGCGUAGGCGGCAGAUCAAGUCCGGGGUGAAAGCCCCCGGCUCAACUGGGAGGGUCACGCGAUACUGAUCGACUCGAAGGCAGAGAGGGUAGUGGAAUUCCCGGUGUAGUGGUGAAAUGCGUAGAUAUCGGAGGAACACCAGUGGCGAAGGCGACUACCUGGCCUGUUCUUGACGCUGAGGCGCGAAAGCUAGGGGAGCAAACGGGG
rnacentral:rRNA from 1 species